GAUGAAGAACGCAGCGAAAUGCGAUACUUGGUGUGAAUUGCAGAAUCCCGUGAACCAUCGAGUCUUUGAACGCAAGUUGCGCCCGAAGCCAUUAGGCCGAGGGCACGCCUGCCUGGGCGUCACACGUCGUUGCCCCCCCAUCUACUCCUUCGGGAUUGCGGGGGGCGGAUGAUGGCCUCCCGUGCGCCUUGUCGCGCGGUUGGCAUAAAUACCAAGUCCUCGGCGACGCACGCCACGACAAUCGGUGGUUGCGAAACCUCGGUUGCCUGUCGUGUGCGGUCGUCGCGCAUCGAGGGCUCGAAAAAAUCGUCGGGCUCCGGCUCGGCUUUCAACGCGACCCCAGGUCAGGCGGGGUUACCCGCUGAAUUUAAGCAUAUCAAUAAGCGGAGGA
rnacentral:misc_RNA from 1 species